rnacentral:rRNA from 1 species
CUGGUGCUCACGAAAAGAAUUUAAGUUCUGCCUUAUAUUUACUUACGACACUUUAAAGUAACAAAGAAAUUUUAAGAGUAAUUCAAUAGGGGUACAGCCCUAUUGAAAAAGAAAACAAUCUACACCUUUGGGUAAAGAUCAUAUAAUGUAAGGGUUUUGUCAGAGUGGGCCUAAAAGCAGCCACCUCCACAGAAAGCGUCACAGCUCAUGCAAAGCUUAUCCAAUAAUACCGUUAAACCCCCUAAACCCAUUAGUACUACUGAGCCUCUCUAUACUUAUAUAGAACAGUUUAUGCUAGAACUAGUAACAUGAAAUAAUUCUCCAGAUGCAAGUGUAAAUCAGAUCGAAAGCCUCACUGAUAAUUAACGUACCACAUGAAGGUAUUGUAGUAACUCAUCAAGAAAACCCUACAACCCCCGCCGUUAAUCUGACACAAGAGCAUAAAAGAAAGAUUAAAAGAUAUAAAAGGAACUCGGCAAACAUGAACUUCGCCUGU